UACGGAGGGUGCAAGCGUUAAUCGGAAUGACUGGGCGUAAAGCGCACGCAGGCGGUCUGUUAAGUUGGAUGUGAAAUCCCCGGGCUUAACCCGGGAACAGCAUUCAAAACUGACAGGCUGGAGUCUCGUAGAGGGGGGUGGAAUUCCAGGUGUAGCGGUGAAAUGCGUAGAGAUCUGGAGGAAUACCGGUGGCGAAGGCGGCCCCCUGGACGAAGACUGACGCUCAGGUGCGAAAGCGUGGGGAGCAAAC
rnacentral:rRNA from 1 species